UUCCAGACUCCUACGGGAGGCAGCAGUAGGGAAUUUUGCGCAAUGGGCGAAAGCCUGACGCAGCAACGCCGCGUGAUCGAGACGCCCUUCGGGGUGUAAAGAUCUGUCAGUGGGGACGAAACUUGACGGUACCCACAGAGGAAGCACCGGCUAAAUACGUGCCAGCAGCCGCGGUAAUACGUAUGGUGCAAGCGUUAUCCGGAUUUACUGGGCGUAAAGGGAGCGCAGGCGGCGCGCCAAGUCUGAUGUGAAACCCCGGGGCUCAACCCCGGGCAUGCAUUGGAAACUGGCGGGCUGGAGUGCCGGAGAGGUAAGCGGAAUUCCUAGUGUAGCGGUGAAAUGCGUAGAUAUUAGGAGGAACACCAGUGGCGAAGGCGGCUUACUGGACGGCAACUGACGCUGAGGCUCGAAAGCGUGGGGAGCAAACAGGAUUAGAUACCCGGGUA
rnacentral:rRNA from 1 species